rnacentral:rRNA from 1 species
ACGGGUGAGUAACACGUGGGCAACCUGCCCUUGAGACUGGGAUAACUUCGGGAAACCGGAGCUAAUACCGGAUAAUAUAAGGAACCUCCUGGUUCCUUAUUGAAAGAUGGUUUCGGCUAUCACUUAAGGAUGGGCCCGCGGCGCAUUAGCUAGUUGGUGAGGUAACGGCUCACCAAGGCGACGAUGCGUAGCCGACCUGAGAGGGUGAUCGGCCACACUGGGACUGAGACACGGCCCAGACUCCUACGGGAGGCAGCAGUAGGGAAUCUUCCACAAUGGACGAAAGUCUGAUGGAGCAACGCCGCGUGAGUGAUGAAGGCCUUCGGGUCGUAAAGCUCUGUUGUUAGGGAAGAACAAGUGCGAGAGUAACUGCUCGCACCUUGACGGUACCUAACCAGAAAGCCACGGCUAACUACGUGCCAGCAGCCGCGGUAAUACGUAGGUGGCAAGCGUUAUCCGGAAUUAUUGGGCGUAAAGCGCGCGCAGGUGGUUUCUUAAGUCUGAUGUGAAAGCCCACGGCUCAACCGUGGAGGGUCAUUGGAAACUGGGGAACUUGAGUGCAGAAGAGGAAAGUGGAAUUCCAAGUG